rnacentral:tRNA from 1 species
AUUUAAAUAGCUUAUAUUUAGAGCGUGACACUGAAGAUGUUAAGGAAAUUAUUAUAAUUUUUAAAUA